rnacentral:rRNA from 1 species
ACCGUGUACGUACAAGCAGUAGGAGCAGGCUUGUCCUGUGACUGCGUACCUUUUGUAUAAUGGGUCAGCGACUUAUAUUCAGUGGCAAGGUUAACCAUCUAGGGGAGCCGUAGGGAAACCGAGUCUUAACUGGGCGUUCAGUCUCUGGAUAUAGACCCGAAACCAGGUGAUCUAGCCAUGGGCAGGUUGAAGGUUGAGUAACAUCAACUGGAGGACCGAACCGACUAAUGUUGAAAAAUUAGCGGAUGACUUGUGGCUAGGGGUGAAAGGCCAAUCAAACCUGGAGAUAGCUGGUUCUCCCCGAAAGCUAUUUAGGUAGCGCCUCGGACGAAUACUACUGGGGGUAGAGCACUGUUAAGGCUAGGGGGUCAUCCCGACUUACCAACCCUUUGCAAACUCCGAAUACCAGUAAGUACUAUCCGGGAGACACACGGCGGGUGCUAACGUCCGUCGUGGAGAGGGAAACAACCCAGACCGCCAGCUAAGGUCCCAAAUUACUACUAAGUGGGAAACGAUGUGGGAAGGCUCAGACAGCCAGGAUGUUGGCUUAGAAGCAGCCAUCAUUUAAAGAAAGCGUAAUAGCUCACUGGUCGAGUCGGCCUGCGCGGAAGAUGUAACGGGGCUAAGUAGUAAACCGAAGCUGCGGCAAUGUGCUUUUGCACAUUGGGUAGGGGAGCGUUCUGUAAGCGGUUGAAGGUGUGUGGUAACGCAUGCUGGACGUAUCAGAAGUGCGAAUGCUGACAUGAGUAACGAUAAAGGGGGUGAAAAACCUCCUCGCCGGAAGACCAAGGGUUCCUGUCCAACGUUAAUCGGGGCAGGGUAAGUCGACCCCUAAGGCGAGGCCGAAAGGCGUAGUCGAUGGGAAACGGGUUAAUAUUCCCGUACUUCUUACAAUUGCGAUGGGGGGACGGAGAAGGCUAGGUGGGCCUGGCGACGGUUGUCCAGGUUCAAGUGCGUAGGCUUAAGAGUUAGGUAAAUCCGGCUCUCUUUAAGGCUGAGACACGACGUCGAGCUACUACGGUAGUGAAGUCAUUGAUGCCAUGCUUCCAGGAAAAGCCUCUAAGCUUCAGAUUGUAAGGAAUCGUACCCCAAACCGACACAGGUGGUCGGGUAGAGAAUACCAAGGCGCUUGAGAGAACUCGGGUGAAGGAACUAGGCAAAAUGGUACCGUAACUUCGGGAGAAGGUACGCUCUUGAUGGUGAAGUCCCUUGCGGAUGGAGCUGACGAGAGUCGCAGAUACCAGGUGGCUGCAACUGUUUAUUAAAAACACAGCACUGUGCAAAAUCGUAAGAUGACGUAUACGGUGUGACGCCUGCCCGGUGCCGGAAGGUUAAUUGAUGGGGUUAGACUUCGGUCGAAGCUCUUGAUCGAAGCCCCGGUAAACGGCGGCCGUAACUAUAACGGUCCUAAGGUAGCGAAAUUCCUUGUCGGGUAAGUUCCGACCUGCACGAAUGGCGUAAUGAUGGCCACGCUGUCUCCACCCGAGACUCAGUGAAAUUGAAAUCGCUGUGAAGAUGCAGUGUACCCGCGGCUAGACGGAAAGACCCCGUGAACCUUUACUACAGCUUGGCACUGAACAUUGACCCUACAUGUGUAGGAUAGGUGGGAGGCUUUGAAGCAAGUACGCCAGUAUUUGUGGAGCCGUCCUUGAAAUACCACCCUUGUAGUGUUGAUGUUCUAACGUCGACCCCUUAUCGGGGUUGCGGACAGUGCCUGGUGGGUAGUUUGACUGGGGCGGUCUCCUCCCAAAGAGUAACGGAGGAGCACGAAGGUGGGCUAAUCACGGUUGGACAUCGUGAGGUUAGUGCAAUGGCAUAAGCCCGCUUGACUGCGAGAAUGACAAUUCGAGCAGGUGCGAAAGCAGGUCAUAGUGAUCCGGUGGUUCUGAAUGGAAGGGCCAUCGCUCAACGGAUAAAAGGUACUCCGGGGAUAACAGGCUGAUACCGCCCAAGAGUUCAUAUCGACGGCGGUGUUUGGCACCUCGAUGUCGGCUCAUCACAUCCUGGGGCUGAAGUCGGUCCCAAGGGUAUGGCUGUUCGCCAUUUAAAGUGGUACGCGAGCUGGGUUUAGAACGUCGUGAGACAGUUCGGUCCCUAUCUGCCGUGGGCGUUGGAAGAUUGAAGGGGGCUGCUCCUAGUACGAGAGGACCGGAGUGGACGAACCUCUGGUGUUCGGGUUGUGUCGCCAGACGCAUUGCCCGGUAGCUAAGUUCGGAAUCGAUAACCGCUGAAAGCAUCUAAGCGGGAAGCGAGCCCUGAGAUGAGUCUUCCCUGAUACUUUAAGUAUCCUAAAGGGUUGUCGGAGACUACGACGUUGAUAGGUCAGGUGUGUAAGUGCUGUGAGGCAUUGAGCUAACUGAUACUAAUUGCCCGUGAGGCUUAACCAUACAACACCCAAGGGGUUU